UGCCUUCUGAGUUCCCUGGAACGGGACGCCAGAGAGGGUGAGAGCCCCGUAUAGUCGGCCACCGAUCCUUUGUAAAGCUCCUUCGACGAGUCGAGUAGUUUGGGAAUGCUGCUCAAAAUGGGAGGUAUAUCUCUUCUAAAGCUAAAUAUAGGCCAGAGACCGAUAGCGCACAAGUAGAGUGAUCGAAAGAUGAAAAGCACUUUGAAAAGAGGGUUAAAUAGCACGUGAAAUUGUUGAAAGGGAAGCGCUUGUGACCAGACUUGUGCCGGGCUGAUCAUCCAGUGUUCUCACUGGUGCACUCGACCCGGCUCAGGCCAGCGUCGGUUUUCGUGGGGGGAUAAAAGCUUCGGGAACGUGGCACCUUCGGGUGUGUUAUAGCCCGUUGCUUAAUACC
rnacentral:rRNA from 1 species